UCUUGACACAUUGCACAUCUUCCCAUACAGAUGCAGAGAAUGGGAGAAGUGGAAUCACAGGGGAAAACGAGAGAACCUCUGGUGUCAGUGUGAAGAACAGAACUAUUGAGUGAAAUGAAAAAUUUGAAGAUGUUUGGGGGGUAGAAUCAACAGAGAUUGGCAGAUAGCCAUGGAAGGGGAAGGAUGCAAAGAAAAUAUAUGAGAACGAUGGAAAAUGAAUGCAUUCAAC
rnacentral:lncRNA from 1 species